AUUAUCUUAAAUCACACCUCUGUGAGAUGAAAAUAUUGAAGUUGUAUCUGUAAGAAAUAUUAAAAGAGAAGAUAUAUUAGUUUUUUAAUUGGUAUUUUAAUUUUUGAAUAUUCAGGAAAGAACAGAAGUGAUUGCAUAUUGUUAAUUAUGUCACUGUGUUUAGAAAAGAAAGGCAGUAGUCAGUUUAACAUAAAAUAGAGCAUAUAAGAGAGGUUUUUGUUCCCUUGAGUAAACCUAGGCCCUGUUACUAUUUUAUCAGUGUUUCAGUAGCAGUGGCUGUAUUUUCCCAGGUGUUCAGAUUGUUUCCAGUGAAUCUUUGUCAGCAGUUCCUUUUAAAUGCAGUUCAAUAAAUU